ensembl:snRNA U6 U6 spliceosomal RNA
GUUCUCACUUCAGCAGCACAUAUGCUAAAAUUGGAACGAUAUAGAGAAGAUCAGCAUGGCCCCUACACACAGAUGACAUGCAAAGUUAAGAUGAAGGAAAGAAUCUU